ensembl:snRNA U6 U6 spliceosomal RNA
GUGCUCGCUUAGGCAGCACAUAUACUAAAAUUGGAAGGAUACAGAGAAGAUUAGCAUGGCCCCUGCACAAGGAUGACAUGCAAAUUUGUGAAGUGUUCCAUAUUUUU